AAAAUCCGUCGACUUUAAAAAAUCGUGAGGGUUCAAGUCCCU
rnacentral:tRNA from 1 species